GGCUGUCGUCAGCUCGUGUCGUGAGAUGUUGGGUUUAAGUCCCGCAACGAGCGCAACCCUUGUCAUUAGUUGCUACAUUCAGUUGGGCACUCUAAUGAGACUGCCGGUGACAAGCCGGAGGAAGGUGGGGAUGACGUCAAGUCCUCAUGGCCCUUAUAGGUGGGGCUACACACGUCAUACAAUGGUCGGUACAAAGGGUUGCCAAGCCGCGAGGUGGAGCUAAUCCCAUAAAACCGAUCGUAGUCCGGAUCGCAGUCUGCAACUCGACUGCGUGAAGUCGGAAUCGCUAGUAAUCGUGAAUCAGAAUGUCACGGUCGAAUACGUUCCCGGGCCUU
rnacentral:rRNA from 1 species